rnacentral:rRNA from 1 species
UACGUAGGGCGCGAGCGUUGUCCGGAAUUAUUGGGCGUAAAGAGCUCGUAGGCGGUUUGUCGCGUCGGCCGUGAAAACUUGGGGCUUAACUCCAAGUUUGCGGUCGAUACGGGCAGACUUGAGUUCGGCAGGGGAGAGUGGAAUUCCUGGUGUAGCGGUGAAAUGCGCAGAUAUCAGGAGGAACACCGGUGGCGAAGGCGGGUCUCUGGGCCGAUACUGACGCUGAGGAGCGAAAGCGUGGGGGGCGAACAGG